UCAGCGUGGCUUUGUGACAGGUGGUGCAGAUAAAUCUGUCAAGUUCUGGGAUUUUGAGUUGGUGAAAGAUGAAAAUAGUACCCAAAAGAGACUUUCUGUGAAGCAUACUCGAACCUUGCAACUAGAUGAAGAUGUUCUGUGUGUCAGUUACUCUCCCAAUCAAAAGCUGUUGGCUGUGUCUUUGCUGGACUGUACUGUGAAGAUUUUCUAUGUCGACACUUUAAAGUUUUUUCUCUCACUUUAUGGACACAAACUGCCUGUUAUAUGCAUGGACAUCUCCUAUG